GAUGAACGCUAGCUACAGGCUUAACACAUGCAAGUCGAGGGGAAACGACAUCGAAAGCUUGCUUUUGAUGGGCGUCGACCGGCGCACGGGUGAGUAACGCGUAUCCAACCUGCCCACCACUUGGGGAUAACCUUGCGAAAGUAAGACUAAUACCCAAUGAUAUCCCACGAAGGCAUCCGAAUGGGAUUAAAGAUUUAUCGGUGAUGGAUGGGGAUGCGUCUGAUUAGCUUGUUGGCGGGGUAACGGCCCACCAAGGCAACGAUCAGUAGGGGUUCUGAGAGGAAAGUCCCCCACAUUGGAACUGAGACACGGUCCAAACUCCUACGGGAGGCAGCAGUGAGGAAUAUUGGUCAAUGGGCGAGAGCCUGAACCAGCCAAGUAGCGUGUGGGACGAAUGCCCUAUGGGUUGUAAACCACUUUUUGCAGGAGGGUAAAAUGCUUCACGUGUGGAGUAUUGCAAGUAUCCUGCGAAUAAGGACCGGCUAAUUCCGUG
rnacentral:rRNA from 1 species